rnacentral:rRNA from 1 species
CCUACGGGAGGCAGCAGUGAGGAAUAUUGGUCAAUGGACGAGAGUCUGAACCAGCCAAGUAGCGUGAAGGAUGACUGCCCUAUGGGUUGUAAACUUCUUUUAUAUGGGAAUAAAACGUUCCACGUGUGGGAUUUUGUAUGUACCAUAUGAAUAAGGAUCGGCUAACUCCGUGCCAGCAGCCGCGGUAAUACGGAGGAUCCGAGCGUUAUCCGGAUUUAUUGGGUUUAAAGGGAGCGUAGGUGGUUUGUUAAGUCAGUUGUGAAAGUUUGCGGCUCAACCGUAAAAUUGCAGUUGAAACUGGCAGUCUUGAGUACAGUAGAGGUGGGCGGAAUUCGUGGUGUAGCGGUGAAAUGCUUAGAUAUCACGAAGAACUCCGAUUGCGAAGGCAGUUCACUGGACUGUAACUGACACUGAGGCUCGAAAGUGUGGGUAUCAAACAGGAUUAGAUACCCUGGUAGUC